rnacentral:lncRNA from 12 species
UGACACAGACCCAGCUCCGUAGUUUCUCCUUUCCCAGAGCCCCUCCCCUGGACCCCAGUCUUGCCUGGGCUGACCCUCCCCAGGCCUUCUCACAGGACACCCCAGGGGACCCCUGCUCUUCCCCCUUCCUCUCCCCUCCACCCUCCCCCUCCCCUCAGACCCUUCUGACUCACCACCCACCUCAGAUGAGCUUCCUCCAGGAUUUGCCCGGAUGCGGGCUGGGGCCAGGCCAGAGGGGAGCUGCCCUGGGGCGGGAUCUGGCCCUGGGGGAUACUCAGGCUCCAAUUUCGCCCAGUGGGGGCUGCUGCUGGUGGCCUGUCCCCAGGCUCUGGCUGUGAGCUGCUUGUCCCCGAAUGCCUUCCCCUGACUUCACCCUGGGGCUGGGGAGGACUUUGAUAUGCCAGGCUGGAGGGUGCAGAGGCAGGGUCUUUGGCAGAAGGCCGCCCCUGACUCUGGACCCUGUUUCCUCCCCCUCUUCUCUUGCGCCCAAACUUUGGUGGAGUGUAGGAUUUCUGAUGCGGAGGCAGGACACAGGGUGGGGGAAUUGAGGUCAUGCCCCUCCCCGCUGCCCCCGGCACCCAGGAAGCGGGCAAGUCAGUGGUCCACCGCCGGUAUUCUGUGGGGCAUCCUUGCGAAGGUGUGGCUGGUAAAGCGGCCACUGCCACCACGACCCACAUCUCCCAGCUGCGCUUCACUGAAGACUCCACCACCCCCAAGAGAAGGAGCGCAGUGUAGACCAGCACUGUCCAGCAGAAAGAGAGUGCCAGCCACAAACAGAGCCACUUGUGUAAAUUUUAAUUUUCUAGCAGCCACAUUUUUUAGGAUUAAAAUAUGUGAAAUUAAUUUCCAUAGUAUAUUUUAUUUAAACCAGUAUAUCCAAAAAUACUAGCGUUCCGAUAUAUAAUCAAUAUAAAGAUGAUUAAUGAGAUAGUUCACAUUGUCUUUUUCAUACUAAGCCUUUGAAAUUCAACAUGUAUUUUAUACUUACGGCACAUCUCCAGGCAGAUUCGCUGAAUUUUAGCGUGAUAUCCACAUGUCCUGAACAGGACAGGCCUAGAGCAGGGGUUCUGACCCCGGCGCUACUGCAUUUGGAGCCAGAUAAUCCUCUGUCAUGGGGGGCUGUCCUGGGCCUUGUACAGUGUUUAGCGUCAGCCCUGGCUUCCCACCCCCAGAUGCCAGGAGCAGCCCCCCUGCCAUCGGACACCUGGCAGGAGGACAAAAUCACCACCCGUUGAGAGCCACUGGUCUAUUAGAAGGAAGCGUCUUCCAGAACGAAGGAGACGGAACUGUGACUGCUCCUGUCGCCGCUGGCAUCUGUAGCAGUAAGAGCUAGCGUCAGUAUUAAUAAUAGCAGGGAUAGUAGUGAGCACUUAGAAACCAGACGCCUUAUCUUGUGUCUUCCUCACCACAGACCUUGGGGGUCACGCUGAGAUUAUCCCAUAUUGUAGAUGGGGAAGCAAGGCUCAGAGAAGUGAGACCAGUGCCCCCAUGUCACACAGGACUCGGGCCCAGAUCUGACUCAGAACCCAUGCUCUUUUAAUUUUUUUUUUUAAGAUUUUGUUCAUUUAUUCAUGAGAGAUGCAGAGAGAGAGGCAGAGACACGGGCAGAGGGAGAAACAGGUUCCCUGCAGGGAGCCCGACCUGGGACUCGAUCCCAGGUCUCCAGGAUCAGGCCCCGGGCCAAAGGCUCAACCACUGAGCCACCCAGGCACCCCAGAGCCCACGCUCUUAACCUCCACUGUGUGACUUUAAAAUUAGCAAGUUGAACAGGGUGACCCUCUCGGCCGGCCUGCGUCUCUUGCACCCUCCAUUGCCCAUACUCGCUUCCCCCACCCCCUUUCAGCCCUGCACUUCCCACGGAGUCCUUUGGACCCAGGCACAGGUUCCAA